rnacentral:lncRNA from 1 species
GUCCUUAGCACUCAGUGUUCCUCCAAAAUAAUCCUUCCCGAUUAAAUCAGGAGGAGUAAACUGCUUAGCAAUCAUAAGGGGAAGGCGAUAGAAUUGUGCAAAACCUAUUUUUUACCAUCUUCAUGUGAACUCAGGUUACUGAACAACCACUUACAUCUGAGCUGUGGUUUCUUCCUUGUUUUGAAAUUUAGUUUCUAGAAGAUAAUGCUUUCAAAUGGCUUCUUGUUCAUGUCUUCCUCAGGGACUACCAGCUGCUGCCUGAAGAUUGCCUGGCAGGCCUGACCCCUUGGCAAAGCAAAGCGUCCAGUGAGGUCUUUGCAAAAAGUCUCUCCAAGGAGCUGAGGAGCUGGGCAUCAGUACAGCAGAAAAAUGCAAACCAAUCAAGUCACAGAUUUUUCAGGCAUGCCAACCUUCUGGUCCUAGGCAUGAAGCAUUCCAAAAAGCCUAGGAAAAUUCAUAUGUUUUCCUAAGAAUGAACCGAUAUCUUGUCCUUCCAAGUUGUAUCCUCUGAUCCCUCCCUGAGAGGCAGCCAUGAUCUCUGAGGGGUGAUAAUAGCUGGGCCUCCUGGCUGAGUGAAUCAUACCAACUGUAAGCUUGGCUUAUGACCCAGAAAUGGAAACAGGAAGUGGCUUACAGAAUAUAAAGAGCACAGUCAAGGAAGGAGUGCAGUAGAAUUCUCCUCGGAUGACAUGGUGUACAAUAGACAGAGGUGAAGACUGGCAUUUUUCCUUUUUUCUUUUUUCUCUUUUUUCUUUUCUUUCUCUUACCAUGAUGCCCUCUGGCAGGGCUGGGCCAUCUGAAUGGGGAGUGGGAUGUCUUCCCCGGGGUGGCAGAGGGGGAACCACUGUGGAUAAGUAGCUUCUCUCCAUAGGGAGCCCAUCUGUGGGAUGCUAUGGCCCCUUUUCACCUCAUCUUUGCAAAUUAAUUUGGGUUCUUCAGAAUGUAUUUUGCCAGGCUUUAUAAAUGUAAACUCUCAAGAGGUGCUUCCAACAAGAAAAACCGACUUCUGGCAGCUUUGAAUAGUUCCCAGAAGGUUCUCUGAGCCCAUGGGGGGAGGGCUUCCUUGCACUCAUGCUGAGAUACAAAAAUCCACUGUCAUCCCUAGAUACCUGGAGGGGGCUGGAUGGGGAGGGAGCCUGUCCUGCUCUGGGCAUGGCCCUGGGGCAUGGUGGCUGCAGGCGGGGUGGCCAGUUGGGUGGACAGGAGUUUGGAGGGCUGACCUCCCUCUAGAUGAAGGGCACCUCCCAGAGCUUCCCCACACUCCCCUUUAUGCCUCUCCCAGGGCUGGAGAGCAGCUAGUGGAGGCUGAGGCCUGGCACAUUGACUCAAACCAAAUCAUCCAGUGCUUUGUCCUUAGUGUUCGCUGUUCCACCACAGUUACCAUCCCCAAUGAAAUCAGGAUGAGUAAACUCCUAAACUGGGUACUGGGCCCACCUAUGCCAGUGGAUGAAUCUUGAAGACCUGAGGCAGAGCAGGGCCUGGGCCCUGAGGAGGGCCCAUCCAGGAACCAGUCUACCAUCAACAAAUGCCUCCUGAGGACCCUCUCUAGACCAGUUUCUCAGACUGGAGUCCUGAAGCAGUGGCAAAAAAUGAUGGGUGGGAGUGGAGCUUUUAAAAAGGCUGAUUUUCAGGGUGCCUGGGUGGCUCAGUCGGUUAACCGUCUGACUUCGGCCCGGGUCAUGAUCUCGCAGUUCGUGGGUUCGAGCCCAGCAUCAGGUUCUGUGCUGACAGCUCAGCUGUGGAUUCUGUGUCUCCCUCUUUCUCUGCCCUUCCCCUGCUCACACACUGUCUGUCUCUCUCUCUCUCUCUCUCUCUCCCUCUCUCUCAAAAAUAAAUAAACAUUAAAAACAAAUAAAAAUUAAUUAAUUUUAAAAAGGCUGACUUUUGGUCUCCUCUAUAGGCCUCCAGAAUCCAAAAUUUUCAAAGAAAGUCCUGGAAAUCUGUGUUUUUGCACGCGUUCUCUUCCCUAGGCCGGCCAGUGCAGUAAAAUUUAAGAAUCUUUCUCUAUACCAGUCCUGGUCUCAUUUAUUAUCCUUUUCAUGAAAAUAUUUCGUUUUCAACCUUUUGUGACUUCUGAAAAUGGAAUCUGAAGCAGAGGGAUCCACUUCCAUAAUACCGCCUGUGGCCAUCACUGGCACACUUGGCUUGCCGAUUUUAUCAGAGGAUGCGAAGGAAGCCAACCUUUGAUUAUCACGAUGCCCAUAUCUACUUUUCCGUUGACUUGUCGCCAUUAAAGGCGCCUCUCCAGCUUUUCUUUUUCGCCUCUUUCUGCGAGAAUAUGGGCCUGGUGCUCUUGGAAACUGUGCUCUUGGAGCCCUUGAGCGCAGGGGCGAGUGAAAGUAAACUUGUUCAAGUUCCCUGAAGAAGCGGGAGUGGAAUCCAUCGGUGUUCCCACGGAGAAAGCACUGACUCCAAGAGAACGCAGGAUGAAUGGAGAAGGAUGACGUCACAAAGAUGUCCGGGGAAACACCGGAACACCGUCACUCUGCUCACUCCUUGGUCUCCUCCCACCACUUCCUCCAGCCCUCCCGGAACUCCUUCUGCCUCAGGAGUAAUGCGAGCAAUGCAGUGUGUGCUGGUAAACCAGCUAGCUCUCUGAAAAAAAAAAAAAAAAGAAAAGAAAAACAAAAAUCCGAAUUUGUACUAUUUGCCAGUUUCCACGGUGUAAACACUCCCACCACGGCAGAUUUCAACUUACCGGUGGUUUAACAGCAGACUCACAACAUUUUCAAAUAUUCAAUAAUCGGCUCUUGCAAACCAGGAGGGGACAACUCCAGCAUGUCCUCAAUAGUCCUGCCCCAGAAAAUCCCCAAAUCACACCCCGGGUGAGUAUCACUUUCAGCUUCUCAGUCAGAAGGAGAAGUGGUUACUGUAUGACCGGAUUGUUAUGACUAAUAUCAAAGUGCCAAACGUGGAAGGGCACGAUGCAGAGGGUGAGGUUUUGUUUGCCAAAUUGGAGGAGUCUUCAUUUCUCAAUCUUGGUCUCCUCUCCUUCCCUGGGCUGGGGCAUCGGAGGGAGCCCCGUCCACAGAGCUUCUCAUUGGCCUCAUAACAGAGAUGCACGUAAGACUUAGCCUCCCCCACCCCCCAGAGCUCCCCCAAACUUGCUCUCUCCUUUAAAACCCCAGGACCCUAUGCUAGAGAACAGAAUGCUCCUUCUUUCAUUAGAUAAGUUAAAAAUGGAGGGUUUGGAAGCCAUUCUGGAUUCUGGGUUCUGCCUUUUUGGUUUGGAAGGUGCUUAAAAGCUUUUUCUUAAAAAGCUGGACACAGGAGGCGUGCCUGGGUGGCUCAGUCAGUUGAGUGUGAGACUUCAGCUCAGGUCACGAUCUCAAGGUUUGUGAGGUUUGUGAGUUCAAGCCCCGCGUAGAGCUCUGUGCUGACAGCUGGGAGCCUGGAGCUUGCUUCAAAUUCUGUGUCUCCCUCUCUCUCUAUCUCACUGCCCCUCCCCCACUUGUGCUCUCUCCCUCUCUGUGUCUCUCUCUCAAAAACGAAUAAAAAUGUUAAAAAAAAAAAAAAAAAAAAGCUGGACUCGGAAGGAUUCUGUAACCAAGACCUAAAAGCUGAAAGCCUGGACUGAUCUUUCCUUGAUUUUUAAGGAGCCUGGAGAGUGACAGGGUGUGGGGCAGGUAGUUUUCAUAAAGUUGAGCAUGACCAAAUUUGCCCACAAUCGAUGAUCACACAACUCUUCCCCUUUAGGCCCUGGGGAUGCCAUUGGACUGAGCGCAGGAUGGUGACCUACUUUUCUUCCCAAAACAUUGGGCGGCCAGUUGCAUUUUCCGAUCUAAAACUCACCCACACUGCUACAGUUUCUGUUCCCCUCUGCUCCUGCUCCUGGGUGUGCUUCUGGCUGGAGCUGCUUUUGUAAAGUGGAGUUGAUCAUGGGAGUGCUCCUCCAAGAGGCUGGUCUGAAAGCCCCAACCCACAUCCCUCCCAGACAUCAGCAUGGGCACUCCAGCCGCACAAAUCCUGGCAGGUGUAGGAGAAUCCAGGUUUGCCCCGUCUCAGCCAGGGAAGUCAGUUAAAGAAA